rnacentral:lncRNA from 1 species
AAGGUCAUUGUUUACCACUUAAAUGUGGACUCAAAUCAUUACCCGAUUAGAUAGAAGAAAUAGAGUUUUGUAAGGUUCCGAUAACAUAGUGGAAUAUAAAUUUUAAAAGAAAAUUAUAUAUAUUCAACAAUUGAAAACAAGUUUAACAAUUAAACUAGACUACCAAAACACAAAAGCUCUAGGAACACCUUGAUGAUUGCAAUUAAAUAAUAUAAGCAUAUAUAAC